CCUAACACGCAAGAACUCAUACAUCAGUUCUCCAUCGUUCGUGACUCCGUUCCAAGCUCCGCGAGGUCGCUCCGCUCCCGUCGCCGUCGCCCCCAGGUGCAAGCCGGACUGCCGGGCAACAUCGAUGGUUGAAAAGAUUCUCCAACUAGCUGCCCAUAUCACCUGCAAAAAUCACAUACCCCGUGCACCAAAUUGCUCAAUCCCUCCAAUUUCCUUAUCCAUCCUUCAAUCCCCACGGCCACAGGUCCAUUCCGUCGCAAUCACUGCACACUGCGUCCACAGAUCAAGAAGUGUAGUGCAUAGGAGAAGGAGAAUCAAAUUGGUUUGCUUCUUUUAUUUUCCACGUAAACAUAUAUUUAUUUCAGUUUGUCGCAAUCAACUAACAUUGGAAUCGCAUUUGUGGCGUUCUACCACGCUGGCACCAGCUUCCUAUCCCUCCCCUUACUGUCUUCUUGGCUGUGAAUCUGGAAGCCCAAUUUUUGGAUGAUGCAGCAGCAGUUGCAUAUGUGCCGCUCGCCACCGGCGGAUGGGGCCACGUGCAGAGGCAAUGGGAUGGGAAGCGACAUCACUGUGUGCUUCACCGUCUAGGGAGCCUGUACUUGCUGCUGAGUGCAUGAUCCCUUCAAUUCAACCAUCCCUAUCGCAGCGGCCUAGCCGUAUUUGUGUUCCCUGCUCUUUGUCCCCUGUUCUUCUUCACUGGAUACAGGUACUUCUAUAUCCUUUUAUUUUGUGAGCUGCUUGCGUGUUUCUGAUUGCUGCAUUCAGUAUACAUAGCUAUCUGGGGUGAUCAAAACUCAGUGUAUGAUCUUACGAAUGAUACAAUAUCUCAUGGAUUGUGAUUGUUUCAGUUGGCCGUGCAAUUUAUGAGCUAUUCAGUAUUCACUCAUAGCUAACUGUUGCUGCUGCUGGAACGUUGUAGCAAAAGAUUUAGAACUAUGAUUUAUUACUAAUAUUGCUGCUAAGCCACAUAACACAAUGUUUGCACGUAAUCAUUGUGUUGAUUUUAUUUCUUUCUAAAAGUACUCACUAUAGUAUAUUUUCUUAGCUUGAUGUGGUUUUCUUCAAAUAAAAGGAAUUUCAGCUCUCUUACAAUAGCCUGUGAGAAUGCCAGAUGUGAUAUGCUCAACCAAAUCCACUUCAAUGCGACUAGGGACAUGGAGUUACAGCAUGGGCCAUGCAAGCUGUGGUGGAUUCUUGCAUGAAAGAUGCAUAAUUUUCUUUGUUGAUGCAUUGCUCAUUUGAGCUACUUGUAUCCUUGCAGUGUCAUGUCAUAUGGCAGAGAAAGUAUGAUCUUUCCGGCAUGUAGGAUUUGAGAUAUCUUCAAUUCUGUGUCAUGAACAGAUCCACUUAAUUGGGGAUCUUGGAUUGCUCAAAUACUUCUUCAUGAAGCUCUCAGACUAGCUAAAAAUCUCAUAUUUGGGGAUAUUUCUUCUUUCGAAAGGUCCAAAUUGACGUGGAAAGCUUUGUGAAUUAUUUCCGACCUGACAUAAUGGAAGCGGUGUAUUCAUGGGCCAAAGCGUCGAUCUAUCAAAUCAUGGAGAUGACUCAAGUGUUUGAAGGCAGCUUUAACAGGGCCAUCAGGAGGCUGGAAGAGGCUCUGCAGCAGCUAAUUCUUGCAUCUAGGUCGAUUGGGGAAACCGAACUGGAAGCAAAACUUGAGGAGGCAGUCAGCAAGAUCAAGAGGGAUAGAUAUAGUAUUUGCUGCAUCUUUGUACUUGUAACAUAUCUUGAUGGCGUCAUGAUUUCGUAAAAGUGCAUAGAGAAAUUAAAUCUCUCUUUGCUAUUUUAUUUCAAGUGCCGUUGGCCUGACGGAACUGUCUACUGGUAACAUGUAGCAGUGAUAUGGCUGGCAAAGUUUUGUUAGUGCUGUUAACCUCGUAGGGCAUGUUUGGAAUGCAAGAUGUAAGAAUUUUGCAGGAUUGUAAGAAUUUUUCAGGAACCUUUACAGUUCUACCAGAAACUUUGGAGAACCACAGGAAUUGAUGUCGCUUGUACGCACUAAAAUCCAUUUUUUA